UUUCAAGGACGUAUGUGUCGACUCCAUCAGCCUGAGGACAAAUUUUCUUUUUUGUAAUUUUAUUGUACAGAAUGAGAUAGUUCAACGUAUGGACCAAAUGUUCUGUAGUCUGCAUGGACGAACAUGCACACGUUGUUUGUAAUGAUACUGAAAAGUAGAGAAUGGCAGGGAUCAAACAUCAACUAAAGAAAGAAAGAAAGAAAGAAAGAAAGAAAGAAAGAAAGAAAGAAAG